rnacentral:rRNA from 1 species
UGGGGAAUAUUGCGCAAUGGGGGGAACCCUGACGCAGCCAUGCCGCGUGAAUGAAGAAGGCCUUAGGGUUGUAAAGUUCUUUCGGUAUUGAGGAAGGUUGAUGUGUUAAUAGCACAUCAAAUUGACGUUAAAUACAGAAGAAGCACCGGCUAACUCCGUGCCAGCAGCCGCGGUAAUACGGAGGGUGCGAGCGUUAAUCGGAAUAACUGGGCGUAAAGGGCACGCAGGCGGUUAUUUAAGUGAGGUGUGAAAGCCCCGGGCUUAACCUGGGAAUUGCAUUUCAGACUGGGUAACUAGAGUACUUUAGGGAGGGGUAGAAUUCCACAUGUAGCGGUGAAAUGCGUAGAGAUGUGGAGGAAUACCGAAGGCGAAGGCAGCCCCUUGGGAAUGUACUGACGCUCAUGUGCGAAAGCGUGGGGAGCAAACAGGAUUAGAUACCCUGGUAGUCCACGCUGUAAACGCUGUCGAUUUGGGGGUUGGGGUUUAACUCUGGCGCCCGUAGCUNACGUGAUAAAUCGACCGCCUGGGGAGUACGGCCGCAAGGNU